UACGUAGGUGGCGAGCGUUAUCCGGAAUUAUUGGGCGUAAAGCGCGCGCAGGCGGUUCCUUAAGUCUGAUGUGAAAGCCCACGGCUCAACCGUGGAGGGUCAUUGGAAACUGGGGAACUUGAGUGCAGAAGAGAAGAGCGGAAUUCCACGUGUAGGCGGUGAAAUGCGUAGAGAUGUGGAGGAACACCAGUGGCGAAGGCGGCUCUUGGUCUGUAACUGACGCUGAGGCGCGAAGCGUGGGAGCAAACA
rnacentral:rRNA from 1 species